CAAUCAAAACUAAUUAGGUGCGUGUUGGCCAUGGAAGAUAAUCACAAUGCCGUUCCUUGGACCAGGCUUGAUGUGAAAUCAUUGCAGAAGGUUCUCAUAUCCAGACACUUGCAUAACAAGCAGAUGAGCUGUCCUGCAAUGGCCCGGAGUCUCUCCAACACGCUUUAUUUCAAGCGGUUUUUACCCUACUAUGCCUUAAAUGUUUUAGGAGGGCUUGACAAGGAAGGGUGUGUUUACUUAGGACGCUAUUGGAUCAGAUGAGAGAGUUGGAUACGGUGCUCAAGGUUCUGGUUCCACACUCAUCAUGCCUUGCCUUGAUAACCAGCUCAAGUUGCCGAGUCCUAUUCUGCUACCUAAACAGGUUUUAGCCAUCAAAAAGUCACUAACGAUGCCUUGAAGCCUUUCAAAGCUGCCGCUGAUCACUAACAAGAUACCCAAGGAGCCGAUGAUCCAUCCAUUAAGACAUCGAUCAAAUCGUUAGGAUUCUCUUGGUGGUUCUGCUAACAGAGCAGACAAAGCUAUGCUUUCUUCCUAUGGCUUUUAGGCUGGUGUUAAAGCAUUGCAGAAGGUUCCUAAAUCCAGUCCAUACACUUGAUCUAUUAACAUCAGCAUGACAGUCAGAUGAGUAUUCUUGCAAUGGUUCAGCUUCUCUCCAGCACGCUUUAUUUCAAGCGUUUUUCCCCUACUUAAUGUUCUAUGAGGGAUUGACGAGGAAGGUGAAAUGCCCUUCUUUGUUUACUUCGUUACAUUGUGUGAUCUUUAUUUUUGAUUAUAUUCAGGAAAAGGGGGUCAUAUGAGCAAAUUGGAUACGGUGCACAAGGUGCAUGUAUUGUUGGCCAUGGAAGGUACACAAGGAUCCAAGUGACGAGUCGAGAUGUUUGUUCUGUUGGCUGGUGGGGACUCGAGGAAUCUGCUUGCAGAACCAAACUCAAAAGGCCAAGUCUCUGCAGCAACAACUUUAUCCUUAAGAUUGAUCGGACAAAUAAGCCUUGAAGCCAUUCAAAGCUGGCGCUGAUCUCUUGCCCAAGAAAGACGAUUCACCCCUACCAUUAUUUGAUAGUUGCUACAUUGAAAUCUAACGAGGUGCAUGUUGGCCAUGUAAGAUAGACAAGGAGCCGAUGAUCCAUCCAUGUAGACAUCAAUCGAAUAGUUCCCCAACCAUAAUUGAUACAUAGAUGAGCUACUUAUUGUUUCUGAAUCUGGAAGCUCUUCACUUCAUAGCUCCAGCUUUUGCCUGCACCCCAAAGAAGUACACUACAUCUGCCAUAAUUUUAAGGGAUGACCUGCCCAACAAAUAACAACAAGUCAACAACAAGUCAACAACAACAAUGGGAAAAUCAUCUGAUCCAAACAUUGUUGAUGAAUACUAUUUGGUGGAAGUUCGUGUCUUUUCAAGUGAUGGAUGUUCAGUGGACGUUAUUUUGAUGGCGUUUCUUCUUCAACUCUCAUCAGAUUUGACUAGAAACUCCACAACGAAAAAAGGUAAAUAUUCUUGGGGUUUACGCUCUCUACAAAAACAACUCAUCACCGGAGUGGAGAAGAAGCUCAAUCAUCGAUGCAAAGACUCCAUUGCUGUUUUCAAACAAGUCAG